rnacentral:rRNA from 1 species
CUACGGGCGGCACCAGUGGGGAAUAUUGCACAAUGGAGGAAACUCUGAUGCAGCAACGCCGCGUGGAGGAUGGCACUUUUCGGAGCGUAAACUCCUUUUAUAUAGGAAGAAGAUGACGGUACUAUAUGAAUAAGCGCCGGCUAACUCCGUGCCAGCAGCCGCGGUAAUACGGAGGGCGCAAGCGUUACUCGGAAUCACUGGGCGUAAAGAGCGUGUAGGCGGAUUAAAAAGUCAGAAGUGAAAUCCUAUAGCUUAACUAUAGAACUGCUUCUGAAACUCUUAAUCUAGAAUAUGGGAGAGGUAGAUGGAAUUUCUGGUGUAGGGGUAAAAUCCGUAGAGAUCAGAAGGAAUACCGAUUGCGAAGGCGAUCUACUAGAACAUUAUUGACGCUGAGACGCGAAAGCGUGGGGAGCAAACAGGAUUAGAUACCCCGGUAGUC